GACGAACGCUGGCGGCGUGCUUAACACAUGCAAGUCGUACGGUAAGGCCCUUUCGGGGGUACACGAGUGGCGAACGGGUGAGUAACACGUGAGUAACCUGCCCACAACUUUGGGAUAACGCUAGGAAACUGGUGCUAAUACUGGAUAUGUGCUCCUGCUGCAUGGUGGGGGUUGGAAAGCUCCGGCGGUUGUGGAUGGACUCGCGGCCUAUCAGCUUGUUGGUGGGGUAGUGGCCUACCAAGGCGGCGACGGGUAGCCGGCCUGAGAGGGUGACCGGCCACAUUGGGACUGAGAUACGGCCCAGACUCCUACGGGAGGCAGCAGUGGGGAAUAUUGCACAAUGGGCGCAAGUCUGAUGCAGCAACGCCGCGUGCGGGAUGACGGCCUUCGGGUUGUAAACCGCUUUCAGCAGGGACGAAGCUUUUUGUGACGGUACCUGCAGAAGAAGCACCGGCUAACUACGUG
rnacentral:rRNA from 1 species